CCUACGGGAGGCAGCAGUGGGGAAUCUUGCACAAUGGGGGAAACCCUGAUGCAGCGACGCCGCGUGAGCGAUGAAGCCCUUCGGGGUGUAAAGCUCUUUCGGCAGGAACGAUAAUGACGGUACCUGCAGAAGAAGCUGCGGCUAACUACGUGCCAGCAGCCGCGGUAAU
rnacentral:rRNA from 1 species